rnacentral:rRNA from 1 species
UACGUAGGGGGCGAGCGUUGUCCGGAUUCAUUGGGCGUAAAGAGCUCGUAGGCGGCUUGGCAAGUCGGAUGUGAAAACUCCAGGCUCAACCUGGAGCCGCCAUUCGAUACUGCUAUGGCUAGAGUCCGGUAGGGGAGUGUGGAAUUCCCGGUGUAGCGGUGAAAUGCGCAGAUAUCGGAAGGAACACCGGUGGCGAAGGCGGUUCUCUGGGCCUUACCUGACGCUGAGGAGCGAAAGCGUGGGGAGCGAACAGG